rnacentral:rRNA from 1 species
CCUGGUUGAUCCUGCCAGUAGCAUAUAUCUGUCUCAAAGUCUAAGCCAUGCACAUGUAAGUUCACGCGGCUGGUACUUUGAAAUUGCAAAUGGAUCAUUAUAUCAGUUAUGGUUCCUUUGAUCUCUCUAUUUGUUACUUGGAUAAUUGCAUUCUACAGCUAAUAGAUGCAGAUGAGUGCCGAUCUCCUGGGAUGCAUGAAUUUAUCAGAUCAAGACCCAUCCGGGCUCACCAGGCUGCUUUUGUGGCUCUUGAUAAGCCCAGGCCAAUCGCACGUCCCUGUGACAGCGAUGAUACGUUUGGAUGUCUGCCCUAUCAACUUUCGAUGGUAAUUUCUGUGCCUACCAUGGUAACCACAGGUAACAGGGAAUCUGGAUUUGAUUCCGGAGAGGGAGCAUGAGAAACAGCUACCACAUCCAAGGAAGGCAGCAGGUGUGUACAUUAACCACUCCCAACUCAGGUAGGUAGUGAUACAAAAAAUAAUACAGGACUCUUUCCAGGCCCUGUAAUUAGAAUGAGUACACUUUAAAUCCUUUAACGAGGAUCCAUUGGAGGUAAAGUCUAGUGCUAGCAGUCACUGUAAUUCCUGCUUUAAAAGCAUAUAUUAAAGUUGCUGCAGUUAAAAAGCCUGCAGUUGGACCUUUUAUCAAGCUGCCGGUCUGCCACGAGGCAAGCUACCACCUGUUCCAGUCUCUUCCUCUCAGCAGCCCCUUGAUGCUCUUGACUUAGUGUCCUGGGAGCCAGAAGGAUCUACUUUGAAAAAAUUAGAGUGUUCAAAGCAGGCCGGUCGCCUGAAUAUUUCAGCUAGGAAUAAUGGAAUAAGACUCUUGUUCUAUUUAGUUGGUUUUCAGAGCUGGAGCUAUGAUUAAGAGGGACCGCCAGGGACAUUCGUAUUGCCGCUAGAGGUAAAAUUCUUGGAGUGGCGCAAGAUGAAUCAAAGGGAAAGCAUUUGCCAAGAAUGUUAUCAUUAAUCAAGACCAGACCAAAAGUCAGAGGUUCGAAGACGAUCAGAUACAGUCAUAGUUCUGACUAUAAACGAUGCUGACUAGCGAUCCACAAGCAUUAUUUCCAUGAUCCACCAGGCAGAUUACGGUAAACCAAAGUCUUUGGGUUCAAAGGGAAGUAUGGUUCCAAAGUUGAAACUUAAAGGAAUUGACAGAGGCUACCACCAGGAGUGGAGCCUAUGGCUUAAUUUGACUUAACACAGGAAACCCCAGCCGGCCCGGAUACAGAAAGGAUUGACGGCUUGAUAGCACUUUCUUGAUUCUGUGGGUGCUGGUGCAUGGCGAGAUUGAGCAAUAACAGUCGUAACAAGGGUUGCACAGGUGAUUCUGCAGAAGGAUCAUUAACGGUGGAGCAGCCUGAGGGAGAGCAGUUUGCCUGACCUCGGUUACAUCCCAGACAUGCACAUUUUUUUUUUACAUAACUUGGAUAAAACUGUCCUAAAUAAAUUCUGUAUUCUCGUUGGCAUCAUUUUAUGUAUGACUUAGACUUGGCAAAAAAUAAUUACGUAUGUGAGAAUUAAUUAAUUAAAUCCUUUGCGCAAAAUAAUUGAUGUACAUGAGGAUCAAUUAAUUAUAACUUUGCCAUCCCAAUAAAAUAUAUUGGGAUACAAAUUGCCAGCAACCUUGUACAUGUGUCUGUACUAUUAAUAAUACUUGCGUUAAUCUCGCUUGAAAAAUGUUGUCCGACAGGAACAAUUCUUGUUGCCUAAGCCUCCUACUUAAAGGCAAGAAUCAAAACAACAAAGUUGAUGCCCUUAAGGUGGGGAAAACUACUAU